AUGCACGUGCACACACACAUGCACACAUGCAAGCAUCCAGGAACACGAACAUGGCCUCUCACCAUGGUAAAUACACCCCCAACCCUCAGCCCCCUUCGGUCGGCAGGAUCCUUUACCCUCAGGGGCUAGGCCUGGUCUGGACCACACUUUUCCUGGGCCCCACUUCCCCAAGCCUAUUCCUCCCACCCGGCCCAUUCCCCAGCACCACUGCCUCCCCUUCCGGCAGGGAUCUCCCAUCCAGAAGCACACAGGUUGGGGAAGGGGAGGAGGCUGCAGUCGCUCCCUUCCAGGUUGGGCUAGUUAACUGCAGCAGGAGCAUGUCCUUAAGGCACAGAUCACUCAUGCUAUUGUUUGUGGCUUAAGAAUGCCUUUAAGCAGUUUUCCGCCCUGGGCAGGGCCAGGUGUUCCUUGCUCUCAUUCUGGUAAACCCACAGCCUUCCAGUGUGGGUGUUAUGGCCAUCAUGAACAUGUCACAGUGCUGCAGAGAUUUUGUUUAUGGCCAGU
rnacentral:lncRNA from 1 species